rnacentral:rRNA from 1 species
AACGAACGCUGGCGGCAUGCCUAACACAUGCAAGUCGAGCGAGACCUUCGGGUCUAGGGGCGCACGGGUGCGUAACGCGUGGGAACCUGCCCUUAGGUUCGGCAUAACUAUCCGAAAGGGGUGCUAAUACCGGAUAAUGUCUUCGGACCAAAGAUUUAUCGCCUUUGGAGGGGCCCGCGUUGCAUUAGCUAGUGCGUAGGGUAAAAGCCUACCACGGCGACGAUCCAUAGCUGGUUUGAGUGGAUGAUCAGCGACACUGGGAGUGAGACACGGCCCAGACUCCUACGGGAUGCAGCAGUGGGGAAUAGUGGACAAUGGGCGAAAGCCUGAUCCAGCAAGGCCGCGUGAGUGAUGAAGGCCUUAGGGUAGUAAAGCGCAUUUACCCGGGAUGAUAAUGACAGUACCGGGAGAAUAAGCUCCGGCUAACUCCGCG